CCCUUAGAUGUUCUGGGCCGCACGCGCGCUACACUGAACAGUUCAACAAGUCUUAACCUUGGCCGAUAGGUCUGGGUAAUCUUUGAACGCUGGUCGUGAUGGGGAUAGACUUUUGCAAUUUUUGGUCUUCAACGAGGAAUUCCUAGUAAACGCAAGUCAUCAACUUGCAUUGAUUACGUCCCUGCCCUUUGUACACACCGCCCGUCGCACCUACCGAUUGAAUGGUCCGGUGAAGCCUCCGGAUUGGCGCGCACCUCGGUGCCGCCGAGAAGUUGGCUAAACCUUACCAUUUAGAGGAAGGUGAAGUCGUAACA
rnacentral:rRNA from 1 species